ACACGUGUGUGUGUGUGUGUAAUACACACGUGUGUGUGUGUAUACACACGUGUGUGUGUGUAUAUACACACGUGUGUGUGUAUAUACACACACGUGUGUGUGUAUAUACACACGUGUGUGUGUAUAUACACACACGUGUUGUGUAUAUACACACACGUGUGUGUGUGUGUAUAUACACACG
rnacentral:snoRNA from 1 species